rnacentral:rRNA from 1 species
CAGUAAUUCCGAGUAACGCUUGCACCCUUCGUAUUACCGCGGCUGCUGGCACGAAGUUAGCCGGUGCUUAUUCUUUGGGUACCGUCAUCCCAACCGGGUAUUAGCCAGCUGGAUUUCUUUCCCAACAAAAGGGCUUUACAACCCGAAGGCCUUCUUCACCCACGCGGUAUGGCUGGAUCAGGCUUGCGCCCAUUGUCCAAUAUUCCCCACUGCUGCCUCCCGUAGGAGUCUGGACCGUGUCUCAGUUCCAGUGUGGCUGAUCAUCCUCUCAGACCAGCUACGGAUCGUCGCCUUGGUGGGCCUUUACCCCGCCAACUAGCUAAUCCGACAUCGGCUCAUUCAAUCGCGCAAGGUCCGAAGAUCCCCUGCUUUCACCCGUAGGUCGUAUGCGGUAUUAGCGUAAGUUUCCCUACGUUAUCCCCCACGAAAAAGUAGAUUCCGAUGUAUUCCUCACCCGUCCGCCACUCGCCACCCAGAGAGCAAGCUCUCCUGUGCUGCCGUUCGACUUGCAUGUGUUAGGCCUACCGCCAGCGUUCACUCUGAGCCAGGAUCAAACUCUG